rnacentral:rRNA from 1 species
CGUAUAUUAAAGUUGUUGCAGUUAAAAAGCUCGUAGUUGGAUUUGUGGAUGAUGUUAUGGUCCACUCCUUUUGGGUUGGUACUAUUGAGAUUGUCCAUCUUUGGGUGGAAUCUGUGUGGCAUUAGGUUGUCGUGCAGGGGAUGCUCAUCGUUUACUGUGAAAAAAUUAGAGUGUUCAAAGCAGGCUUAUGCCGCUGAAUAUAUUAGCAUGGAAUAAUGAGAUAGGGCUUGGGUGCUAUUUUGUUGGUUUGCGCACCUUGGUAAUGAUCAAUAGGGACAGUUGGGGG